UUCCACAUCCGUAAUCCAUGAUUCUGCUUCUGCUGGGUCUGUACUACCCAUGAAUUCUUUGGCUCCAAGUUCCUUAACUCUCUUAAUUUCUGAAUUUUCCGUACCACGCCUUCCCCGUAAGGCUGUAGCCAUUAUGCGAGUAAACUGGCUGAGCACAUGCCUCAUAUCCAAAGCAUUAUCUCCAGCAGGUGGAGAUGGUGGAGGUGAAGGUAGUGGUGGUGAAGGAGGGGGUGAUGGAGAUGGAGGUGGAGGAUUCGGCCCCCAUCUUUGCCUGC
rnacentral:lncRNA from 1 species